GCGGGAAGAGCUCAAAUUUGAAAUCUGGUGGCCUCAGGUCAUCCGAGUUGUAAUCUAUAGAAGUGUUUUCCGUGCUGGCUCAUGUACAAGUCCCUUGGAACAGGGCGUCAUAGAGGGUGAGAAUCCCGUCCUUGACAUGAACUACCAGUGCUCUGUGAUACAUUUUCAACGAGUCGAGUUGUUUGGGAAUGCAGCUCAAAAUGGGUGGUAAAUUCCAUCUAAAGCUAAAUAUUGGCGAGAGACCGAUAGCGAACAAGUACCGUGAGGGAAAGAUGAAAAGCACUUUGGAAAGAGAGUUAAACAGUAUGUGAAAUUGUUAAAAGGGAAACGAUUGAAGUCAGUCGUGCUCUUUGGAUUCAGCCGGUUCUGCCGGUGUACUUCCUUUGAGUGGGGUCAACAUCAGUUUUGAUCGCUGGAUAAAGGCUGGAGGAACGUAGUACCCUCGGGUAAACUUAUAGCCUCCUGUCACAUACAGUGGUUGGGACUGAGGAACGCAGCACGCCUUUAUGGCCGGGAUUCGUCCACGUACGUGCUUAGGAUGUUGACAUAAUGGCUUUAAACGACCCGUCUUGA
rnacentral:rRNA from 1 species